rnacentral:rRNA from 1 species
AAUUAUAUCUUGUUGAGAUAGAAUGUGUUUUGAUGGGUUUAAAAUUUGAAGAAACAAUAAAGUUAUUGGUUGAGUAUAUUUUAUAGAAAAGCUAUGAUUAAGACUAAAGUGAAGAAGUAUUGUAAAAGAAAGAGGUAGUUAUUUUAGUGAAAAGAAGUUAUAGAAUAUUGUACCUUUUGUAUCAGGGAGAAUUAAAAUUGUAAGUUUAUUAUUUAAAUCUCGAAACAAAAAGAUCUAAAGUUUAAAGCAUGGUUAUGUUGUAAAAUGACAUGAAAUUUUUCUUUAGUAAUGAUAUUUUAGUCGAGUUUUGUAUAUCUAGUUCUUUCUGAGAGGAAUUUAAUUUCGCUCUUGUAUUUUUGAAAUGCAAGAUUAAAGAUUAAGAGGGAUAAGCUUCUUAGUGUUGCUAUAAAGAUAUAGGAAUUUUGUUUUAAAUUAGGCUUAAGAGCAGCCAAAUUUAUAAAGCGUUCUAGUUAAUUUAUUGUUUAGAUAGAUUUAUAUUUUUUUUAGUUAGUUAGGAGAGAAUAGGCUGAAUUUAGGAAAGUUUAGUUAAAAUGAUUUUAUUAGUAUGUUUGUUUGUUAAAAGGUUACAGUAAAAUAUCUGUAAAGUAUUAAUUAGUUGAGAUGCAGAGAAGGAACUCGGCAAAUAUUAUUUUUGCCUGUUUAUCAAAAACAUGUCUGUACGGAGAAAGUGUAGAGUCUGGCCUGCCCACUGAAAGUUUUUAAAGGGCCGCGGUAAUUUGACCGUGCGAAGGUAGCAUAAUCAAUAGUCUCUUAAUUGGAGGCUGGAAUGAAUGGUCGUACAAAAAAUAGCCUGUCUUGGCUGUAGAGAUAGAAUUUUACUUUUGAGUGAAAAGGCUCAAAUAUAUUAAAGGGACGAUAAGACCCUAUAAAACUUUAUAUAAAAGAAUUAAUUUUUGAAUUUUAGUGUUAAAGUGGAUUAGUUUUUAUUUAUUAUGUUGGGGCGACAAGAAUAUAAAAUAAGUAACUGUUUAAUAAUUUAAAUAAAUAUAUUUAGAGGAGUGAUCCUUUUUUAAGGAUUAGAAGAAAAAGUUACUUUAGGGAUAACAGCGUAAUUUUUUCUGAGAGUUCUUAUCGACGAAAGUAGUUGCGACCUCGAUGUUGAAUUAAGAUUUCCUUAAGGUGUAGAAGUUUUAAUGGUAGGUCUGUUCGACCUUUAAAAUCUUACAUGAUUUGAGUUCAAACCGGUGUGAGCCAGGUUGGUUUCUAUCUUUUAAUUUUUUGGAGGUUACUUUAGUACGAAAGGACCAAGUGGCUGAAAUAGUUUUUUUAGAAAGAAGAAUAUUAAUUUUAUUAUCUUGGCAGAAGAAUGCACUAGAUUUAGGAUCUAAUCAUAUAGUUUAUUACUAUAGAUAAU